AGUCUCUUAAUUGGUGACUUGUAUGAAAGAAUGGAUGAAAUAUAAACUGUCUCUAAGUUAUUAAUAUAAUUUAAUUUUUUAGUUAAAAAGCUAAAAUAAGUUUAAAAGACGAGAAGACCCUAUAGAGUUUUAUAAAUUUAUAACUUUUAAUUGUUUAUAAAUUUAUGAAUUUUAAAUUUAUAAAUUUAUUUUAUUGGGGUGAUAAAAAAAUAUAAAAAACUUUUUUUAAAAAUAAACAUAAAUAAUUGAGAUUAUGAUCCUAAAUUUUAGAUUAUAAGAAAAAAUUACCUUAGGGAUAACAGCGUAAUUUUUUUUUUUAGUUCAAAUAAGAAAAAAAGUUUGCGACCUCGAUGUUGGAUUAAGAUAAAAGUUAAAUGC
rnacentral:rRNA from 1 species